UAAGCGGAGGAUAAGAAACUAAAUAGGAUUUCCUUUAGUAAUGGCGAAUGAACAGGGAAAGGCUCAGCGUGGAAAUUGGGGCCCACGGCCUUGAAUUGUAGUCUCGAGAUGUACCACCAGCGGAGGCGCAGGUGUAAGCCUCUUGGAAAAGAGCAUCAGCGAGGGUGAGAGUCCCGCUUGUCACCUGCAGUCCCCCGCGCACGGUGUACGUUCCAAGAGUCACGUUCCUCGGGAUUGGAGCGCAAAGUGGGUGGUAAAUUUCAUCUAAAGCUAAAUACUGGUUCGAGACCGAUAGCAAACAAGUACCAUGAGGGAAAGGUGAAAAGGACUUUGAAAAGAGAGUUAAAAGUGCCUGAAAUUGCUGAAAGGGAAGCGAAUGGAACCAGUGUGUCUUGGCGAGAUUGUUGUGCGCUAAGGUGAUUUCGGGCCGUCCCAGCGCAAGCGUGGCGACCUGUUCUGAUCCAGCCGCGCACGGUGAUUCUCGCCUUCCGCGUCAUCGUCGGUUUGCAAGCGAGGAAAACCCCAGGCGCAUGGUAAUUUGCCCCCGGGUGAGUGAACGCGCUUGGCGAGUACUCGGUCGUGAACGGAGCAGGACGAUGACUAAAUGGUUCUCUUCGACCCGUCUUGAAACACGGACCAAGGAGUCUAACAUAUGUGCGAGUUCACGGGAGGUGAACCCUGCGGGCAAAAUGAAAGUGACUGCUGGGAUCUUUGCACCAGCAACCGACCAAUCAACCGAGAGAGGUUUGAGUGUGAGCAUAUGUGUUAGGACCCGAAAGAUGGUGAACUAUGCCUGUGAAGGGCCAGGCCAGGGGAAACUCUGGUGGAGGCUCGUAGCGAUACUGACGUGCAAAUCGUUCGUCAUACA
rnacentral:rRNA from 1 species